AGGAUGUAACAAGCAUUUGUGUAUCCACGUGUCUAGCAAGUAAUGGGUCUUAUUUUAUUGGAACUUAACGAGGAAGGCUUAAACAGUACCUUUCUACUAGUUUUAAAGGGUCCAUCCUCUAUUCCAAACACACAUUCAAAACAUCUAGUCUCUAUUGCCGGUUGAACAUACGAACUCUACAGAGGAUAGAAUAAACAUUCCUUUCAGCUUUCAUCAAUGGCAGAUGGAUCUCGAACUGAAGCUAAACAACUGAACAAGAGCCCCAAGGAGAAUUCUGGAGAAAGAAAUGAACAAGAGCUUCUGCAAAACGAAAAUAGUGAGACCAAGAUUCAUAGGAAUGAAAUCAGCUCAUCUGAAGCCACAGAAGUUGGGGUUUUCGACUUCAACAACGACUAUCGUGCAGGUUAUAUUGAUGGUCUUGAAGCAAGGAGGGGUCGAAACUACAACAUUAGGGGCAAUAAAAUCCAUUCAAACAAAGGCCAGCGUGUGGGGAUUGGCAAAUUCGGCAACAACUACUCCACGUCGAACGUUUCAUUCUUUCUUGGUGGGCUUAUUAUUCUAGUUUUUGCUAUAUAUAAUAUAUAUAGCGAAGCUAGCGGUACGAACAAGAAGAAAAUAUAAAUAAGAUAAAAAGGUAAGGGGCUGCUGAAUAAACAGGCUGGAAUUUGCAAGAAGAAAACAAAAACUGAGAUGUAUGGUUUGGAGAUUUAUGGCCACCAGAGCUCCUACACUUGAACUUUUCUCUGAAUCUGAAUGUUAUUUGUCUACAUGCAAUCAGUACUGUUUCCUCUUGUUCUAGCUUUUUUCUUUAUAUCCACCUAUGAAGCAAGGAUACUCUUAUUUAUAAAUUAUAAUAGGAACAAGAAGAAAUAUGAACCCCACGUUGAAGUAGCAUUCCCAUCCCCAACACGCCUGCCGUGGCCUGAAUAAAUUAUAUUUUUUAAGAAUGUAUGUGUGAACCCUCGUUCUCCUCAACACUGGUCCGCUCAUGAAGUCGGAAAACCCAACUUGUGUACUUUGUUCUGAGAUUAUUUUAUUCUAGUCAAUGGUGGUUUCCAUGCU